AUUGAACGCUGGCGGCAUGCCUUACACAUGCAAGUCGAACGGCAGCACGGGAGCAAUCCUGGUGGCGAGUGGCGAACGGGUGAGUAAUAUAUCGGAACGUGCCCAGUCGUGGGGAUAACGUAGCGAAAGCUACGCUAAUACCGCAUACGAUCUACGGAUGAAAGCGGGGGAUCGCAAGACCUCGCGCGAUUGGAGCGGCCGAUAUCAGAUUAGGUAGUUGGUGAGGUAAAGGCUCACCAAGCCGACGAUCUGUAGCUGGUCUGAGAGGACGACCAGCCACACUGGGACUGAGACACGGCCCAGACUCCUACGGGAGGCAGCAGUGGGAAUUUUGGACAAUGGGCGCAAGCCUGAUCCAGCAAUGCCGCGUGCAGGAUGAAGGCCCUUGGUU
rnacentral:rRNA from 1 species